UACGUAUGGGGCAAGCGUUAUCCGGAUUUACCGGGUGUAAAGGGAGCGUAGGCGGCGGGGCAAGCCUGAUGUGAAAGCCCGGGGCUCAACCCCGGGACUGCAUUGGGAACUGCCCUGCUGGAGUGCCGGAGGGGCAGGCGGAAUUCCUAGUGUAGCGGUGAAAUGCGUAGAUAUUAGGAGGAACACCAGUGGCGAAGGCGGCCUGCUGGACGGUGACUGACGCUGAGGCUCGAAAGCGUGGGGAGCAAACAGG
rnacentral:rRNA from 1 species